AUUGUUGCAUUUUUACAAAUCAAAAUUAAAAAAUUAUAUAUACAAAACAAAAUACAAUAAUAAAUAAAGGAAAUGAAAAGAGAAAGGAAAAGAAGACAUUAAAAGAAAUGGUUUAAUAAAGUAUGUGGGCUGCUUUAAAAUUAAAUUAGUCUGUCCCAAAUCCCAAAUACUCGUCCAACCAAAAUAACCCCUCCCAGGCAGCCCAAAUCAGUCUCCAUACCCAGUCCAGUUGGGCAGCGACCAAACAGCGUUGUUUCACCUGUUAAAAUCCCAGUCGUUGAACGGUUGGGAACCAAACCCUUAUUUCCGCAUAUAUGUCUAAACAACAUACGGAUUCCCAUCUCUUUAAUCUCCCUUGUUCCUCAAACUGUAAAUACCCUCAAAGAUUCCGCCAUUGUCGCCGGCGGUCCACCACCAAAACCACACCAAAAUCCUACUGAAACUCACCUCCCAAAGCCACCAGACCUCCUUCAUCAUGAAUCCAUCACCUUCCUCGUCUGUUUUCUUUUUUUUCUAUUGUUCUCAGCCAUGUUUUAGUUAAACAGUUUGCCACCCUGUUAAGUUCUUAUUGCUCGUAGUUUACGCUCGAGUCUUGUUUUCGCCAGCGUUUGAUUAAUCGCUUUCAUGAAUAAGUAAACUUCUUAGGGUUCUAUUUGAUUUUGGUGGGAUGUUAUUUUGGUUCUGAUCUCUGUCAAAGCAAUGUUUGAUUCCAGUUAAAAAUUCGUAAACUAGUGUUCGUGGUAUAGGAUUUUGGUUAGUCGGAUUAAACAUAAAUGUUAUUGAUUAGGGCUUUGUUGGCAAUAUGGAAAUCUGUAGUUAGUGAGUUUGGUCUGAAAUUUGGUAAUUAGUUAGCUUUAACCACAGUUACAAAGAAUGAUUCGGGUUAGUAAUUGAGAGUGAAUGCAGGGAAUAUUUAUAAGUAGUUUGGGCAUUGAAAAUGGCAAUUUGUUAAGGCCUGUUAAUUACAGUAAAACAAAGGGGUAUCUUGGGAAUUAUAGUGUAAAGGAAUCUUCUUAGUUGUUACUUGAAGCCCCUAGAACUUUCUAGUAGGAAUCAAGUAGUAAUAACAGGGCAUUUGGGAGGUUAGAUUGGGGAAUUCAACUUGGGGAAUCUCUGGUAGAUAAUUGCAUAAGCAUCUAGAAAAGGGCUUGAGUGAAAUAUUAAACUUUAGAUAGUGAAACUUGGAAAACAAUCCAUAACUAGAGGGACUAAGUUAGAAAAGAAAAGUCUGAAAUUCCUUUAAACUUGGUCUAUAAAAAGCAGUAAAGGCUGAGGGAAUCACAAGUUGGAAGCCUCCCAAAAUUUCCCUCCCAUCUCUAUAAGUUUCAGAUCUGAAAUUUGAGACCUAAGCUACAAAUUCUUCCCAAAAAGUCCUUCUCCUUGAGUUUCAUAUCUGAAAUACCAAAUUUCUACUUCAAAAAAAUCAAAAAUCAAACAAAACAAACAAAACUUUCACAAAAAAUAAAAAUAUCUACUGUUUCAUUGGAAUAAUUUCAGCUUUUUAGAUACUGAGUUGCAUUUCCUAGUUAUUAUUUGCUUGCUGAAAUUUUGGGGUUCAUUAGACAAGAUUCAAGUGAUUCUGGGUUAAUUUGAGUAGUUCUACUUGAUUUCAACACAUUUAUGGAUAAUGUGCUUGUUUCUGGGUUUAAGCUUAGUAUGACUUUGGGCUGUUGAAUUCGAAUUGCUGCUGUUAGCCCUUCCUGCUUUGACUGACUUCUUUUCUUCAUUAUAAUAUCAAAUUCAGGUACACAUCUCAAGUCUGUUUCAAUGUAACUCUCCUGAUGGGAAAUGCAAUGAAGCUACAGUUUAUAUUAAUCCCUCUUCUGUUAUGUUUGAGUAUUUCUGUGUACCACGUAGUAUGAUUUAGUUGAUUGUUAGUGUAGUUAAAUGUAAUUGGAGUUGGACUGUGUUGCAUGAUGUUAACUGUAGCUUUUGGACCACAAAUUUUACAUGUGAAGUGUUAGCUGUAGAAUGGAGUUCCGGUGAUAAUGAAUCAGUAAUUGACUAAAAUUGUUAGUUAAUGAUUGUUGGUUUUUAAACUAUAAUUCUGGAAUUUCAAAGUGGAACCUGGAUAGUAAUGAGAUUGUUUAGACCUGCUUGAUUAUGUGAAUUGAAGUCAGUAGGUGAAAUGAGACUUUUGUGAUUAUUAAAUUAUAAAUUGUUCUUAGUCAUUGUAUAAAGUAGUUUCGUUUUGUUAAUUGAUAUUGAAAUCAACAGCCCCCCUUAAUUAGCAGUUUGUUUGCUUAAAAGUAUGGGAUUAAGCUCAUGAUUGAACAUUGAUUUGGUACUGAAAAUUAAUUAGUUUAGUUAGUGUAUUAAAUCCAGUGUUUUCGAUUACUAGUGAAAUUCGUAUUUGAUAAUCUGUUAGUGAUUAAGCCCAUAGGAAGCCUCGUAAUUUUCUUUGGGAAUCGAUGCUCUUAUGGACAAGCAAAGGGGUGGGCUAUUCACGCCGGCUGGGAUUCGAACCCAAGCCCUUGGCUGGAGAUGAGCUUCAUGUUAUGCUUGCGUUUGGGCCACCAUUUGACCCAUGUGGAUUGAGACUGCUUCGAAGAUGCAAUUCAAGAUUAAAUUGUUAUAUAAAAUUGGGGUUUUGAGUUAGUUAGCGGGUUUUUAAAUUAAAAGGUUCUUCCUUUUGUUUGGAUCCGGGCUUGAACUUUAAACCCGAGUUCUCAUUAUAAGCAAUUAGGAAUUUUUCUUUUCUUUUAGAGACAAAAACAAAAAUAGAAAAAUAUAGUUAUCUUAUAAGUUUAUCCUUUAAAAUAAAAUGAGAUGAGCGUCGCCAAAGAAAAACAACAAUUGCGGGGCCCCCAAUAAAGAUUUAAAAUAUUUUAGAAAUCGGGAAGGGCUGUAGCGAAUUUCAUGGCCCUUCCAAAAGAUUACAACGCGCUAGAUUCUAUUAGGCGCGACUUUAAUAAAUUACAUUCCUAAAUACGGGUGGGCGUUUUAUUCGGCCCAAAUCCAAAUCCUAAAACGUUGAAUAGAGUGUGUCUAGAAUUGCAAGUUCAUUUGAUGCGGCACAAUCCGAAAAUACAUUUUAAAUGACGUUCACUUUCUUAAAGAAAUAUCAUAUUAAAUAAAAGCAGUAAAAAAAAUAAAAACUGGCACAUAGGCUCUUCAUGUAAUAAAAUCAGACAAAAGCUAAACGCAACAGUUGAGCGAUCGUGCUAGAACCACAGAACUCGGGAAUGCCUAAUACCUUCUCAUGGGUUAACAGAAUUCCUUAUCCGGUUUCCUGGUUCGCGGUCUGUUAACAGUCAUCUUUUUCCUCGGUUCGGGAUUCAACCGGUGACUUGGGACACCAUUAGUCUCCCAAGUGGAAACUUUGAAUCUUAAGAAAUAAAUCCCGUUUCGAUUGUCCUUUAAGUGGAAAACUCUUUUGCGCCCCUUUGCGGGGGUGUAUAGCGGAAAAGGAGGUGUGACAGCUCUUGCGACUCUGCUAGGGAUAAGAACCUAGAACAUUUUAUUCAGGGUUUAGAAUUCGAGCUUAGAAUAAUUGUUGUGUUUGGCUUUAUGAGAUUUUGUUACAUGAUAUGUGCUUAAUGUGCUAGUUGAUUGCUUUUACCGCUUUGAUAUUACGUGAACUGUAUAUAAACUGUGCCAGAACCCAUCUCCUCUCUGAGUCCUCUGAAUUGUGAAGAAGGAUGUACGAUGUACGACUUCUUUUCUGUCUAGUGUCAAAUUCAAAUUUAGAAAGAGGUUUGGAUAAGUUGCAAAGCCGGUGAAGCUUCUGUAUUCCCGGAUUGCAGCCUCCCCUUCGGCUCGAGUUGUACGCUCAGGUAAGCCAGGUCUAGAACAAACACCCAGGUUUUGAACCUAGAAUAACUUAACCUUAUGCCGGAUUCACCGCCUCCCCCUCGGCUCGAGUUGUCUGCUCGGGCAAGCCAGGUCUAGAACAAACACCAGGUUUUAAACCUAGAAUAACUCGGUCACAUACCAGAUCCCUAGUAGGAAUGCUUAUCUGCAUCAUGUGCAUAUUGACUUAGGGGACUCAACACAGGGGUUAGGUCCGUCAAGGGCUAGCAACCUGAAAUGAAAAGACCAUCCUGAUGCAUCCUACUUGUUUUCUGUCCAUUUAUUUGUUCGGGCUUGCAUGUUGACCGGCUUUUGAAUCUCAAGAAUGUUAGAAAAUUUAAAAAAAAGGGAGAAAAAGAGAAAAAAAAUGGGAGUUGGAGUCUUGCAUGUUGACCGGCUUUUGAAUCUCGGGAAUGUUAGAAAAUUUAAAAAGAAAAAGAAAAAAAAGAGAAAAAGAUAAAAAUAGUAGUUUGGAAGUUAAUUGAUUGUUUUGGAAAACCCAAUGCCCAAGUACUGUCGAAACUCUGCCGAAAUUUUGAAAAAAUGAAAAAAAAAAGUUUUUCAGUUUGUUUUACUAAAAAGUAAAGGAAAAAAAAAGAAGAAGUAUUUCAUUUUUGGAAAUUGUUUGUUAAAAAGAAAAGAAAAGAGUCUUUACUUUAGGAAAAUAGGUCGUUUGGUUGUUGAAAAUGAAAAGAAAAAAAGAGGUCGUUAUUUUUUUCUUGCAUUUAAAAAUUAAAAAAGGAAAAAUAGUUUGUUUUGCCAUAAAAAAUGAAAAGAAAAAAGUCUUGAUUUUUAUUUUUCUUGUUUCAAAAUAGUUUAUUUGCCAAUGGAAAAAUAGGUUAUUGUAUUAUUUGAUGAAAAAGAAGAAAAAGAGUCUUUUAUUUUUUGUUCGGAAAAAUAGGUUGUUUUAUUGGAAUGGAAAAGAGAAAUAGUCUUUUAUUUUUUCGAAAAUAGGUUGUUUGAUAAAAAAAACGAAAAAAAAUAGUCUUUUAUUUUUAAUUAGGAAAAAUAGCUUGUUUGUUGAAAAAAAAAGUCGUUAUUUAGCCUUAUUUUUAAAAAUAGAGAAGGAAAAAUAGUUUGAUUUUCCAUAGCAAAUGAAAAAAAAUCUUUUAGUUUCAGGCUAUUUUAUUGUUUGAAAAAGUAAAAAAUCAGUAUUGCUUUUAAAAGUAGUUUUUUGUUAUAAAAUGCCAAAAAUGAAAAAAAAUGAUGUCUUGUUUUAAAAUAGCUCGGUAAAUCUGCCCGAACUACGCAUGGUUUGAUUCUCACAGGGCGUGGGAUACGUAGGCAACCCUCAUCGGGUCCAACCUCCCCUUUAUAAAAAUAGCCAAAAAAUGUCAAACUUUUAUUUUUCGCCGUAAAUAAGUCGGGUGAUGCCGUUCUGUUAGAAAUAGCCGAAAAUAGCCAAAAAAAUAUAUCAUAAAUAAACCAGGUGAUGCCUUUUUGUCAAAAAUAACCAAAUGUUCCUAAAUCGGGCGCCGGAAGGCUGACUUUGCAUAAACAGUCACCUUUGGUCAUAUUUCAAUUUUUGACCCUCACAGCCUUAAAUAUUCGUCCCCGAGGCACUGAAAGGACGUGUUUGCAAUACCGGGUCAUUUAUUUUAAUUUGAAAAAAAACAAGAAAAGAGUCAUUGGUCAAGUGAAUACCGUUCAGAUUUUGGGUCGAAAAUGGCAUAUAGGGAAAGGAAUCUAUUGGUGAUUUUUAAGUUUGUAUUUCUUUUGAUUAGAGUAUGUGGGUCGUUUGUUUAUGAGUCUGUCAGAGGCUGUUAGUUUAAGUUUGUCGGUUUUUAAAUAUUUGUAGUCAGAGUUAGUUUUAUUAUGAAAAACUGAAAAAUCCAAAAAAUGUUUUAUUAUUGUUUAUCUUCUAUCUGCAAGAACUACGCACGGUCUGAUUCGUGCGGGUCAUGAUAUGUAGGCAAUCUCCAAAAGAUUCGACCACAACUAAAUAAAGAAAGAAAAAAAGAAGAAAAGAAAAAGAAAAAUUAAAAAUGAAAAUAAGAAUUGAAUAAAAAAUGGGAAAAGAUGUUGUUAAUAAUGAGGACCAACUCAAUCCAUUCUAACAUGUUUUGUUUUGAACUGUGAAGAAAGUUGAGGUAGUUGGUUUGUAGUAACUCUUCCAUACAACACAAGGUCGAAAAACAAGACAGUCAUGGAUGGCAAAGGGUUGAACACAGGUUUUGAUACGUCUAGGGGCAUUGUCGAAUCAGAAUCUAAGCUGAAAGAAGAGGUUUUGAGGUUGAAAAGACAGAUGGUCGGAAUGCAAUAAUCUUGGGCCAGUGGGUGUCCUCCGCUAUCAGUCCCCGAUGCCCAAUAUUACGUUCCAGAACCAAUUUUCAAGGCCUCGAGUCCAUACCAUCACGUUCUUCAUUUUGGGUCUCCCAGUGAGACUACGAAGCUUUAAAACUGUGGAGUGGAAUGAGAUAUCCAGAAAGCUGGAAGGGUUUAAGAUUCCGAAGUUUAAUUUGUAUGAUGGGCGGGAAGAUCUAGUGGACCAUUUGAGGGAAGUAUGAUGAGUUGUUGAUGUCGCAUUUCAGUGAGAGCCUGACUGGGGCAGCCUUGGAAUGGCAUGAUCGUCAAGAUGCGAGAAAUGGCACACGUUGGGAGACAUGGCUUUGUGCAACAUUUUCAGUACAAUAAAGACAUUAUCCCAAACCAUUCCUCCCUAUCUUCGACGGAAAACAAACCCAAGGAAAGUUUCAGGGAAUUUUGGGUCAGAUGGAACGAACAAGUUGCUCAGGAUAAAAAAAGAUAUUGUUGAGCCACACCAACGACAGAUCCAAGUGGUCGUUCCUGCCAAGCGUCUUCAGCCUCAACUCCAAUCCCAAACAUGUCCUCGUGCCUCACCUAAGCUACCUCAGCAUUAGCCUCCAGACAAUGGCUGGUCAUGUAUCCAAACACUAGGACACUCCCUCUGCCAACGACAGGGCCCGGUGGUCGUUCUUGGUAAAUGCUUUCAGCCUCAAUACCGACCCCGUGAACGUCCCCAAACUCCACAAAAUCCAUCUCAGUACUUUGUACAUUAUAUACUUUUCUGUUGUAUUUAGACCCUAGUAGAUGCGUGUGACUUGUAACACCCCGGUAUUGGGCUGUCUCGACCCUCUCUUGCUACAUAUUAGUAGUGCGGAGUAGGUUGCGAUCACUUUUUGGCGCCGUUGUGGGGGAGCUAAUGGUUUUGACUAUCUAUUUAGUUAUUUUUGAGUAUUGUUCUUAUUUUCUUAUUUGUUUCUAACUUGUUUGUGUCAAACAUUUAGGUACAACAUGGCAUUAAAUGCUAAUAAUCCUCUUGGAAACGUGAUUACGGCGGAGGAGGUUGAUGAUAAUGGAGAGGAUGAGGUGCCUCUUGUACCUCCUGGUCAACGAAGAGGCCUUCAAUCCAAUGUAAAUAAAAAUAUUCCAGACCCUCCUCCACCACCUCCAAGAGUGGUUCCCAAAGUAUUAUCAAACCAAGGCUAGGCAAGUGUUAUUGUCCCACCCCGUAUCUGGGCGGAAAAUUUUCAGAUAAUCAAUGUGAUAUUGACCUUACUUGAGCAGCAUGGGUACUUCACGGGUGUCGCGGAUCAAAAUGCCUACAAGCAUCUCAAGGGGUUCCUAGAUACGUGUUGAGGGAGCAAAUAGACGAAUGUGUUCGAGGAUGCUCUUAGGUCGAGACUUUUCUCAUUCUCACUUCGGGGGAAGGCAUUAGAUUGGAUCGAGAGGCUCCCAAACCAUUCCAUCACAACUUGGGAUGAGUUGGCAGACAAGUUUAUUGCUAAAUUCUUCUCACUAGGGCAUAUAGCGACUCUUUGAGAUAAGAUCCUUCAAGAAAGAUCCAACGGAACCUUUGUAUGAGAUUUGGGAGCGGUAUAGAUCGAUGAUGAAGGAAUGCCCCAACAACGAUAUGACCAAGGCGAUGAUCCAACAAACCUUCUAUCGGAGCAUCAAUACAACAAAUCAAUACAUAGUGAAUCAAAUUGCUGGGGUAAUUUUAUGUUUUCAUAUAAUGAGGCAUGUGAUAUACUUGAUGAAAUGGCGUACACCUCUUCAACAUGGCAGAGUAAAGCAAAUGUGCCUCAAGGUACCCCUACGGUUAUUCAUUUGCACCAAGAAUUUCAUGAUCAUGGUCAAGCUAUUGCUUAGCUUACGACCACUGUGAACCAAUUGGUGAAGGUGCAGUUGCAACAAGUCCAAAAUCCUCUCCAAGUCAAUGCCAUGGAAGGUGUCAAUAUGCUCGUCAAUAAGAGAAGGCAAAGAGAGCAACAAACUCAAGGUAAUUCUAAACAAUAUGGCAAUGACUGUGGUUGCUUUCAAAAUGAUUGUUAUGAUGACCAAAGUGAAGAGGUUCAAUAUGUAAACAACUAUCAAGGACAAUGGGGAAACUCUUCAAACCAACAACAGCGGAGACCUCAAGGCAAUUAGGGCAAUCAACAACAAAACACUGAUAACUGGGGGAAUAAUAAUCAAACAAUAACUGAGGGAGUCAGAACAACAAUCAAGACAACCAAGGGAGUUGGAAUGGUAAUAACAAUAAUUAGAACAACAAUAGUCAAGGCGGGUGGAAUAAUGGGAACCAAGGCAACCAGGGGAAAGGCUUUCAAAGACCCCCAAUGUACCAACAACCGAACAACCCGCCCCCAUUUCACUCUCAAGGUUCUAGUUCUUCGGGAAAUGAUAUGGAAAGAAUCGAAAUAAUGUUCAAACAAAUAAUGAAGAAGAACUAAGAUUCUGAUGCUAAAUUGGCUUCCCACAAUACCUCUAUCUAGAAUUUGGAAAUGCAAGUAGGACAAAUCUCUCAAUCGGUGAAUACUCUCCCUAAGGGUGCUCUACCAAGUGAUAUGGUAGUGAACCCGAAGGGUGGGAACAAUCAUGUGAUGACGAUUACAACAAGAAGUGGGAGAGGCGGUGAUGUGAAUGCCUUGAAAGAAAAGCAAGUUGUAGAUGAUGGUGUUGAGUUUCAAGAAGAUGAGGUUCCUUUGAUAGUUAAAGAUGUGGUUGAGAAAAAUGUGAACAAUGAAGUGAGGAAAGAUAUUGAUGAGGCUGAGAUGGAAACUCAAGAUGUCGUGAACCCGUCUAGAGAACACGUGAUUGACAUGCCCCAGCCAGUGGUGCCCAAAGCCAAGGCACAAGGCCACCUCUACCUUAUCCUCAAAGGCUUGCAAAGAAAAAGAGCGAAAACCAAUUCAAAAAGUUCAUUGACAUGAUGAAAAGCCUUACUAUCAAUGUGCCUUUGGUGGAGCACUUGAACAAAUGCUGGGAUAUGCCAAGUUUAUGAAGGAUUUGGUGACGAAGAAGCGGUCGAUGGAUUGUGUAACAAUAAAAUUGACUCAUCAAGUCAGUGAUAUCGUACAUACAAUGGCCCCAAAACUUGAAGAUCUCGGAGCUUUUACCAUCCUUUGCACUAUUGGAAGUGCGGACUUGGCCAAGGCCCUUUGUGAAUUGGGGCUAGCAUAAAUUUGAUGCUUUAUUUGGUCUUCAAGACCUUGGGAAUUAGGGUUAUAGGUAGUUCUUUAGUUAAAAUAAGAGACGGGAGGGGAGUCGUUGGAUCUUUUUGAUCAAUGACUCCGGAUUUUUGGAGGUUAAGAAUAGAUAAAAGAUUUCAUUAUGAAAAUAUGAGGACCUUUGGAUCCUUUUGAUCUAAAGCUUGCGAUGAAGCACCGAAGGAUUUAAAAUAGAAGGAAAAGCUAAGAUUAAUUGUGGACCGUUGAUCAUCAACGGUCCAGAUUCCUCAUGUUAGUUAUGUGAGUGUGUGAAGGGGGUGAUGUGGCAUGCGACGAUUGGCUUGAUAGGAAUGGCACGAAUUGAAUACUUAGACGGGGAUGAAGGGUUGUCAGACCGGGUCAUGAUGCAUUGGUUCUGUGCUUUAGGCCAAAAUUAGAUGGAUAGAAAUUGAGAACAUAACCACAUGAAUUAGAAUUAAAUAAUUACAAUUAUAGACUAUUUAAGUUUAUAACCCCCUUUAUAUAAAUUGAAUAGACUUUGUUAGUCCCGUUAAUAAAACAUAAUUAUCAAAUAUAUAAGUAGUUAAUUAGUGUAACUAUUUGAUUGCCAAAAAUAAUUGUUAUCAUCUAUUAAAUUAUAAAAACUAAUUUUUAUUAACCAAAUUAAUAAAGGUAAUAUAAUUAUUAAGACUAAAUUAUUAGUUGUAAUAAUUGUUCAUAAAAUUAUGAAAGUUCAUUUAAUUAAUUAAAAUAGUAGAGGUAGUAUAAUUUAUAAAUAUUCCAAAUUAAUAAAGGUACAUGUUAGUUAUGUGAGUGUGUGAAGAGGGGUGAUGUGGCAUGCGACGAUUGGCUUGAUAGGAAUGGCACGAAUUGAAUACUUAGACGGGGAUGAAGGGUUGUCAGACCGGGUCAUGAUGCAUUGGUUCUGUGCUUUAGGCCAAAAUUAGAUGGAUAGAAAUUGAGAACAUAACCACAUGAAUUAGAAUUAAAUAAUUACAAUUAUAGACUAUUUAAGUUUAUAACCCCCUUUAUAUAAAUUGAAUAGACUUUGUUAGUCCCGUUAAUAAAACAUAAUUAUCAAAUAUAUAAGUAGUUAAUUAGUGUAACUAUUUGAUUGCCAAAAAUAAUUGUUAUCAUCUAUUAAAUUAUAAAAACUAAUUUUUAUUAACCAAAUUAAUAAAGGUAAUAUAAUUAUUAAGACUAAAUUAUUAGUUGUAAUAAUUGUUCAUAAAAUUAUGAAAGUUCAUUUAAUUAAUUAAAAUAGUAGAGGUAGUAUAAUUUAUAAAUAUUUAAGAUUAAAUUACUAUUGAUUAUAGAAUUAAUAUUACUAACUAUUAUUAUACUUAUUAUAUCAUUUAUAUUUGGAGAAAAUAGCUAUUAUUCAUUAUAAAAAUACUCUACUAUAUUUAUUGUUGAUUGAUAAGUGUAAGAAAUUUAUAUUAAAAGUGGAGGGUCAAAAUUGAUCGUCAACAAGAUCGACUAGACAAGAUAUUAUUACCUUGUUAGGCGGGAGAGACAAGGCGGUAUAUUGUUAUUGUUGGGAUGGAGCGAUACGUGUGGAUAUUAUUAUUGUGACAGAGCUGCAGGCAUGAGGUGCCAUAUGUUUAUGUUUCUAUUUAAUGAUUUGUUGCCAUGCUGAACUUUUACUUGUUUGAGUUGUCAUCACAUGUUCUGAGGUUGUUGAUGUUGUUUCUGUUACAUAUCCUGCUAUCAAUUUUCAUUUGAUACAUUGCACAAAUUAUUUGAUUAGUGAAUAUCACACGACUUGAACCUCGUCACCACUUCACUGAGAUUAGUCUUGCUACUUACUGGGUACCGAUUGUAGUAUAUUCAUACUGCACUUCUGUAUAUUUUUAUGCACAUCCAAGUACUUCUAAUCUAGCAUAUCUCUAGAGAGGCUUGCUUGUGCUAAAGACUUCAAGGUACAAGGUAUAACAACUUCAAAUUUAUGAAAGCUGUGAAAUAUUGUAAGACCCCAAAAAUUUUUGCUAAGUGAUUUACGAUUUGUGCUAUUAGUAUGGUAUAAAUCCAUUGGAUUGGUAAAUAUGUGUAUAAGUCUUGUGGUAAGUAAUUUGGGGUCCAUGGAAAGGCCUAAGUCUAAAAUUUUUUAAAAAGUUCAUUAUAGAUUAAAAUUUCCAAUGAUCUUACACUAGUCCCUACUGUUAAUGGGAAUAUCAAAAUAUCUAUAAGACUUUAGGUGAUGAAUAACAUAUCAAAUGAAAGUCUUCGAGUCUAGUUUCCAACGCUUCAAAGCAUUUGUCAUUUGGACAUUCCUACAAAACGUUAUGAUCAAAUUACCAAAGGCUGGAAAUGUAUCCUGUGUCAAUUCUGCGACCGUAGAUCAUAACGCAUUUCUCACUUUGCGGUCGAUUCUAGUCACAGAAUGGUCUAGUGUAGCCCAAUUUUGGGCGUCGAUUUUGCGGUGCAUCUGCAUACUGCAUUCCUAUCCUGCGGUGCAUUCAGCUAUAUCAGAACUGACGUCGUAGGGUUAAUUUUCUAAUUUUUAUAACCCGGCCCCAUUUUGAUAUAUGUCCUUUGGGGCUUCAAUUAGGGUCAUUUUCUAGUGAUUUUAGAGAUAGGUGAGAUCAUUUUAGAGGGAGUCGGAGGAACGCAACAUUUAAUUAUCCAAACCUUGCAUUGAUGGGUUGGUGUAUCCCCCUAUUGAUUUGGAAAGAUCCGUUAUGUUUAAAGUUUCAUUGUUAAUAAACUUGAGAUGUAUGAUUUUUGGAACAUUGUAUAUGCCCAUGGGUCCUGAUUCCUCUCAUGUGCACUUGACAUUUUGAAUUGAAUGGCUUGUUGUUGAAAUUGAUAUUGAUGUAAUGUGUGAACCUAUGGACGGACUAUGAAACGCAUAGGUGUGUACUAUAACAUGUGGGACCUAUGGACGGGCUAUGAAAUGAAUAGGUGUGUGGUGUAACGUGAACCUAUGGACGGGCUAUUAAACGCAUGGGUGUGUACUGUAACAUGUGGGACCUGUGUACGAGCUAUGAAACACAUAGGUGUGUGUAUAACAUGUGGGACCUAUGGACGGGCUAUGAAAUUCAUAGGUGUAUACUUUAACAUGUGGGACCUAUGGACGAGCUAUGAAACGCAUAGGUAUAUGAUAUAAUAUGUGAACCAUAUGGAUGGGCAAUGAAUCGCAACCUAAAUGUAUGGAAAUUAUGUGGAAGCUAUGUGAUCCUUUUUAUUUGAUAAUGUCUUGAUCAUUUAAAGUGUUUGAAUUUCACAUGUGAUUUCCUUAUUGUUGUAUGAAAGUUCUUUCUAAAUAGAUGGUGUUUAGUUAUACAUACUAGUACUAUUCAAUGGCACUAACGUCCCUUUUGCCGGGGGCGCUGUACCAUUUUAUGAUACAGGUGUUUCCACGGCUAGCGGCAUCGGCCAGUGGUAGUAGUAUCCUCUUCCCAGCAUACUUGUUGAGCCCCACUUUGUCAUGGGGUCAUGUCAUGUAUCUCCUGUUCAUUUUCUCAUCACAUAUUUGGUAUUUGAGGUAUAUCCGGAGCCUUGUUUCCGGCAUUUCCAUAUUAUUCUUCAGCUAUGUUUAGAGGCUCCGUAGACUGGUUGUGGGUAGUGUUGGGUAUUGGAAAUUAAAAUAGAAAUACCAAUGUUUGGAAAUGAUGUAUACAACUUGUAAUGCCUUUAAAGUGGCAAAUGAAGUUGCUAAUGAAAAUGGAA
rnacentral:lncRNA from 1 species